rnacentral:rRNA from 1 species
UACGUAGGGGGCCAGCGUUGUCCGGAUUUAUUGGGCGUAAAGAGCUCGUAGGCGGUCUGUCGCGUCGGUCGUGAAAACUUGGGGCUUAACCCUGAGCUUGCGGUCGAUACGGGCAUGACUGGAGUUCGGUAGGGGAGACUGGAAUUCCUGGUGUAGCGGUGAAAUGCGCAGAUAUCAGGAGGAACACCGGUGGCGAAGGCGGGUCUCUGGGCCGAUACUGACGCUGAGGAGCGAAAGCGUGGGGAGCGAACAGG